rnacentral:rRNA from 1 species
GGACAAGUGACUAAGUGCACAUGGUGGAUGCCUUGGCGAUUACAGGCGAUGAAGGACGUAGAAGCUUGCGAUAAGCUGCGGGGAGUUGGCAAACAAACAUUGAUCCGCAGAUUUCCGAAUGGGGAAACCCGGCCCUUGGGGUCAUCCGUAUCUGAAUACAUAGGAUACGCGAAGCGAACGUGGCGAACUGAAACAUCUAAGUAGCUACAGGAAAAGAAAUCAACCGAGAUUCCCAGAGUAGUGGCGAGCGAAAUGGGAUCAGCCUGCAAGUGAUAUAUCAAUGAGAUAGUGGAACAUUCUGGAAAGUAUGAUCAUAGAGGGUGAAAGUCCCGUACACGAAAUCCAAUGAUAAGUACUAGGCUUGCGACAAGUAGGGCGGGACACGUGAAAUCCUGUCUGAACAUGGGGGGACCAUCCUCCAAGGCUAAAUACUCGUAAUCGACCGAUAGUGAACAAGUACCGUGAGGGAAAGGUGAAAAGAACCCCGGGAGGGGAGUGAAAUAGAUUCUGAAACCGUGUGCAUACAAACAGUAGGAGCCCCUGCUCUAAUGGCUUUCGAUGCGAAGCAUCAAAAGCCCCAUGCUGAUGAAAAAGAAUCCUGACAAGCUGGAGAGUUUGUUGGGGGAUCUUCGAUGCGAAGCAUCAAAAGACAAUCAGGAUGAAAUAGAGCAUUUGGACAUUUGCGAAGCAAAUGACUAAUAGCGAGCGCAGAGAGCUAUUAGAGCAGGGGUGACUGCGUACCUUUUGUAUAAUGGGUCAGCGACUUACAUUCAGUGGCAAGGUUAACCGAAUAGGGGAGCCGAAGAGAAAUCGAGUCCGAAUAGGGCGUCCAGUCGCUGGGUGUAGACCCGAAACCAGGUGAUCUACCCAUGGCCAGGAUGAAGAUGCGGUAACACGCAUUGGAGGUCCGAACCCACUAACGUUGCAAAGUUAGGGGAUGAGCUGUGGGUAGGGGUGAAAGGCUAAACAAACCUGGAGAUAGCUGGUUCUCUCCGAAAACUAUUUAGGUAGUGCCUCAAGUAUCACCACCGGGGGUAGAGCACUGUUAUGGCUAGGGGGUCAUCGCGAUUUACCAAACCAUUGCAAACUCCGAAUACCGGUGAGUGCGAGCUUGGGAGACAGACGUCGGGUGCUAACGUCCGGCGUCGAGAGGGAAACAACCCAGACCGCCAGCUAAGGUCCCUAAGAUUGGCUAAGUGGCAAACGAAGUGGGAAGGCAGAAACAGUCAGGAGGUUGGCUUAGAAGCAGCCAUCCUUUAAAGAAAGCGUAAUAGCUCACUGAUCGAGUCGUCCUGCGCGGAAGAUGUAACGGGGCUAAGCCAGUCACCGAAGCUGCGGAUAUCCUUUUGGAUAUGGUAGGAGAGCGUUCUGUAGGCCGUAGAAGGUGUGUUGAAAAGCAUGCUGGAGGUAUCAGAAGUGCGAAUGCUGACAUGAGUAGCGAUAAUGGGGGUGAAAAGCCCCCACGCCGAAAGCCCAAGGUUUCCUGUCCAACGUUCAUCGGGGCAGGGUGAGUCGGCCCCUAAGGCGAGGCAGAGAUGCGUAGCUGAUGGGAAGCAGGUUAAUAUUCCUGCACCGUCGUUAGAUGCGAUGGGGGGACGGAUCGCGGAAGGUUGUCCGGGUGUUGGAAAUCCCGGUUCUUGACUUAGAGGAGGCUGUCAGGCAAAUCCGGCAGCGUAAUCCAAGGGGUUGAGACGAGUGGCCAUGUGCCGCGAAGCAAUUGGAAGUGGUUCCAAGAAAAGCCUCUAAGCUUCAGUCUAACGAGACCGUACCGUAAACCGACACAGGUGGGCGAGAUGAGUAUUCUAAGGCGCUUGAGAGAACUCGGGAGAAGGAACUCGGCAAAUUGGUACCGUAACUUCGGGAUAAGGUACGCCCUUGUAUCUUGACUGGCCUGCGCCAGGAGGGAGAAGGGGUUGCAAUAAAAAGGUGGCUGCGACUGUUUAUUAAAAACAUAGCACUCUGCAAACACGAAAGUGGACGUAUAGGGUGUGACGCCUGCCCGGUGCUGGAAGAUUAAAUGAUGGGGUGAGAGCUCUUGAUUGAAGUCCCAGUAAACGGCGGCCGUAACUAUAACGGUCCUAAGGUAGCGAAAUUCCUUGUCGGGUAAGUUCCGACCUGCACGAAUGGCGUAACGAUGGCCACACUGUCUCCUCCCGAGACUCAGCGAAGUUGAAAUGGUUGUGAUGAUGCAAUCUACCCGCGGCUAGACGGAAAGACCCCAUGAACCUUUACUGUAGCUUUGCAUUGGACUUUGAACCAAUCUGUGUAGGAUAGGUGGGAGGCUUUGAAGCGUGAACGCUAGUUUGCGUGGAGCCAACCUUGAAAUACCACCCUGGUUUGUUUGAGGUUCUAACCUUGGCCCGUUAUCCGGGUUGGGGACAGUGCAUGGUAGGCAGUUUGACUGGGGCGGUCUCCUCCUAAAGUGUAACGGAGGAGUUCGAAGGUACGCUAGGUACGGUCGGAAAUCGUGCUGAUAGUGCAAUGGCAUAAGCGUGCUUAACUGCGAGACUGACAAGUCGAGCAGGUACGAAAGUAGGACAUAGUGAUCCGGUGGUUCUGUAUGGAAGGGCCAUCGCUCAACGGAUAAAAGGUACUCUGGGGAUAACAGGCUGAUUCCUCCCAAGAGUUCAUAUCGACGGGGGAGUUUGGCACCUCGAUGUCGGCUCAUCACAUCCUGGGGCUGUAGUCGGUCCCAAGGGUAUGGCUGUUCGCCAUUUAAAGUGGUACGUGAGCUGGGUUUAAAACGUCGUGAGACAGUUUGGUCCCUAUCUGCCGUGGGCGUUGGAAGUUUGAGGAGGGCUGCUCCUAGUACGAGAGGACCGGAGUGGACGAACCUCUGGUGUACCGGUUGUCACGCCAGUGGCAUCGCCGGGUAGCUAAGUUCGGAAAAGAUAACCGCUGAAAGCAUCUAAGCGGGAAACUUGCUUCAAGAUGAGACUUCCCGGAGGCUUGACCUCCCUAAAGAGUCGUUCGAGACCAGGACGUUGAUAGGCUGGGUGUGGAAGCGCAGUAAUGCGUUAAGCUAACCAGUACUAAUUGCUCGUGAGGCUUGUCCCU